rnacentral:tRNA from 1 species
GGGGUUGUGGUUCAGUAGUAGAGCGCUUGUCUAGUAUGUAUGAAGCACUGGGUUCAAAUCUCAGCACCA